rnacentral:rRNA from 1 species
AUGGAGCCCCUCUCGUCUCGUUUUUAUAUACACGGUCGAACCGCCUCGUUGGAAACACCACGAAGCGCUUACGCUAGCUGUAGUUCACGAGCGAUGGCGCGCCCGCCGCUCCUCUCCGGUGGAGCCAUGUACGUCCCGCCGCGCCAGACAGCAGCGACCGGCAACUCCGACGACACGUCCGGCACGGCAUACCAGCGGCGGACCUGGGACGCGCUGAGGCGCAGCAUAACCGGCCUAGUGAUCAAGGCCACGGCCGCCAACAUCCGCCACGUCCUGCCGGAGCUCCUUGCCGAGAACCUCGUCCGCGGGCGCGGCCUUCUCUGCCGCGCGCUGCUCAAGUCCCAGGCCGCCUGCCCGGCACUCACCGACGUGUUCGCCGCCAUCGCGGCCGUCGUCAACUCCAAGAUCCCGGCCGUCGGCCGGCUGCUCCUCGACCGCCUCGUGGUGCGCCUUCGGCGCGCCUACGGCGUGGCGCACGAGCUGCUCGCGCUGGAGCUUGUCGAGAUGCUGCUCGCUUAUCCUACGGACGACGGCGUGGAGGUGGCCGUGGUGGUCGUCACGGAGUGCGGCGCCGCCCUCACCGAGUCGUGCCCCAGGGAGCUCGACGCCGUGUUCGACGCCCUCCGGAGCAUCCUCGUCAACGGCGACGUGGACCGGCGCAUCGGGUUCUUGAUCGAGGGCCUCUUUGCGGUCCGGAGAACUCGGUUCCGGGAGCACCCGCCCGCACGUCCGGAGCUUGACCUCGUCGAGAGGAGGACCACCUACGAGGACCUCAAACGAAGCAUGCUCGGAGCCGACGGCGAUGACGAAGACAAAGACCAAGACAACUACGAUGAGUCUGACGACGACGAGGAAGACAUGGAGGUGAUCAAGGACGAGACGGUGACCAAUCUGAUCAACCUCCGUCGGACGAUAUACCAGACGAUCAUGUCGAGCGCCGGCGCCGACGAGGCCGGGCACAAGCUCCUGUCGAUCGUGAGGCCAGGCCAGGAGGCGGCGUCGUCCAACGCAAGGUUCUACGGCCAGCUCGGGCAGCGGCUGUGCGCGAUCAGCCGCGCGUACCAGGCAGGCUUCGAGGCGUGCUUCGCGCGGUGCUACGCGGCGGCGCACCGCAUGGGCACCGACGAGCUGCGUGCCGCUGCCGGGCUCUUCGCGCACCUGCUGGCGGCAGCGGCGUGCUGGGCGGGGUCAGGAUUACGGAGGAGGACACCACCUCAUCGCACUAGUAGAAAAAGGGCUCCCGGUCCAUUCCACCAACCGGGACAAAAGGGUUGGUCCUCGUUGCGGCCAAAGUUUAGUCCCAUCUCGCCAACCGAAGGGAAAUCAGACCGGUUUAUAAGCCCCCCCCUCUCUGCCUUAUUGAGCUUCUCUGAAAAUGAAAGUAGAUGCUCUUAUAUAGGGAAUUUAGCCUAA